rnacentral:rRNA from 1 species
UACGUAGGGGGCGAGCGUUGUCCGGAUUUAUUGGGCGUAAAGAGCGUGUAGGCGGCUUGGUAGGUCUCACGUCAAAACCUGAGGCUCAACCUCAGUUCGCGUGGGAAACCACCUAGCUAGAGUCCGGAAGAGGAGAACGGAAUUCCCAGUGUAGCGGUGAAAUGCGUAGAUAUCGUGAGGAAUACCAGAGGCGAAGGCGGCUACCUGGACAAUUGCUGACGCUCAGGCACGAAAGCGUGGGGAGCAAAAGGG